rnacentral:misc_RNA from 1 species
GGAAAAGCAAAGAGCAAAAGCGACAAUGUUCAUAAGAACUCUUAUAUAUCCGAUGAUAUUAGGGAUGUAGAGAUACACCGACCGAGCCAUCGAAACUGUCUGGGCGGCUCCAAUCAGCUACAAUGCAUCAAAGCCUUGAAACCUCUUGCCGCUUGCUCGGUUUACUGUUCGUUUGGGGGAUGGAUCUGAGGUUGACGAGACGGUGGCGGAGGGUGGCGGAUCUGAGAGGCGGCGGCGGUGGA